rnacentral:rRNA from 1 species
AAUCAACGCUGGCGGCGUGCCUCAGACAUGCAAGUCGAACGAGAAGUCCCCUUCGGGGGAUGGAUAGUGGCGCACGGGUGAGUAACACGUGGGUAAUUUACCUUUGGGUGGGAACAACAGCCGGAAACGGCUGCUAAUACCGCAUAAUGCAGCGGCUCCUCAUGGAGACAGUUGUUAAAGCGGGGGAUCGCAAGACCUCGCGCCUGAAGAGAAGCCCGCGGCAGAUAGCUAGUUGGUAAGGUAAUGGCUUACCAAGGCGACGAUCUGUAACCGGCCUGAGAGGGCGGUCGGUCACACUGACACUGACA